rnacentral:rRNA from 1 species
UACAUGGGGUGCAAACGUUGCUCGGAAUUAUUGGGCGUAAAGCGCACGUAGGCGGUUCGUUAUGUCGGAUGUGAAAGCCCUUGGCUUAACCGAGGAAGUGCAUCCGAAACUGGCGAGCUAGAGUACGAAAGAGGAUCGCGGAAUUCCCGGUGUAGAGGUGAAAUUCGUAGAUAUCGGGAGGAACACCGGUGGCGAAGGCGGCGAUCUGGGUCGAUACUGACGCUGAGGUGCGAAAGCGUGGGGAGCAAACAGG